CUCAGCUUCCUCUGCACCCAUGUCUGACAAACCCCAUAUGGCUGAGAUUGAGAAAGUCGGUAAGUCGAAAUUGAAGAAGACAGAAACGCGAGAGAAAAAUCCUUCAAAAGAAAUGAUUGAGCAGGAGAAGCAAGCAGGCAAAUCGUAAUGAGGCACGCGCCGCCAAUAUGCACUGUACAUCCCACAAGCAUUGCCUUCUUAUUUUACUUCUUUUAGCUGUUUAACUUUGUAAGAUGCAAAGAGGUUGGAUCAGUUGAAGUGACUGUGCUGCCCCUUUGCACAUCAGAACUACUGACAACGAAGGCCGCACCUGCCGCUCCCAUCUGCCUGGCUGGCUGGCGGGGAGCGCGGAGAACUUGCAUGUUGGUGAAGGAACGAGCUGGGUGGGACGAGGGUGAAAUCUAGAGU